rnacentral:rRNA from 1 species
UACAGAGGGUGCAAGCGUUGUUCGGAAUUACUGGGCGUAAAGGGCGCGUAGGCGGCCUACUAAGUCAGACGUGAAAUCCCCCGGCUUAACCUGGGAACUGCGUCUGAUACUGGAAGGCUUGAGGAUGGGAGAGGGAUGUAGAAUUCCAGGUGUAGCGGUGAAAUGCGUAGAUAUCUGGAGGAAUACCGGUGGCGAAGGCGGCAUCCUGGACCAUUACUGACGCUGAGGAGCGAAAGCGUGGGGAGCGAACAGG